rnacentral:rRNA from 1 species
GUUCGGGGGACAGGGUGACAGGUGGUGCGUGGUUGUCGUCAGCUCGUGUCGUGAGAUGUUGGGUUAAGUCCCGCAACGAGCGCAACCCUCGACCUUAGUUGCCAGCAUUCAGUUGGGCACUCUAAGGUGACUGCCGGACUAAAAGUCGGAGGAAGGUGGGGAUGACGUCAAAUCAUCAUCGCCCCUUAUGACCGUGGGCUACACACGUGCUAACAAGUGGGGCGGUAACGAAAGGGUCGCGAACCCGCGAGGGGGAGCCAAUCCCAAAAAGCCGCUCUCAGUUCGGAUUGCAGGCUGCAACUCGCCUGCAUGAAGCCGGAAUCGCUAGUAAUCGCGGAUCAGCAUGCCGCGGUGAAUACGUUCCCGGGCCUU